CGCAGCUAUCAUGCAGUCGAGGGGCAUCGCAGGUAGCAAUACUGGGCGGCGACCGGCAAACGGGUGCGGAACACGUACGUAACCUUCCUUUAAGUGGGAGAUAGCCCGAAGAAAUUCGGAUUAAUACCCCAUAAGAUCAUAGAGUGGCAUCACUUAGUGAUUAAAGAAUUUCGCUUAAAGAUGGGCGUGCGGCUGAUUAGGUAGUUGGUGAGGUAACGGCUCACCAAGCCAACGAUCAGUAACUGGCGUGAGAGCGCGACCAGUCACACGGGCACUGAGACACGGGCCCGACUCCUACGGGAGGCAGCAGUAAGGAAUAUUGGUCAAUGGACGGAAGUCUGAACCAGCCAUGCCGCGUGAAGGAUGAAGGUCCUCUGGAUUGUAAACUUCUUUUAUAUGGGAAGAAACCACUUUUAUCUAAAGGUGUUGACGGUACCAUAGGAAUAAGCACCGGCUAACUCCGUGCCAGCAGCCGCGGUAAUACGGAGGGUGCAAGCGUUAUCCGGAUUCACUGGGUUUAAAGGGUGCGUAGGCGGAUUGGUAAGUCCGUGGUGAAAUCCCCGAGCUUAACUCGGAAACUGCCAUGGAUACUAUUAGUCUUGAAUAUUGUGGAGGUUAGCGGAAUAUGUCAUGUAGCGGUGAAAUGCAUAGAUAUGACAUAGAACACCAAUUGCGAAGGCAGCUGGCUACACAAAUAUUGACGCUGAUGCACGAAAGCGUGGGGAUCAAACAGGAUUAGAUACCCUGGUAGUCCACGCCCUAAACGAUGAUUACUCGACAUUUGCGAUAUACAGUAAGUGUCUGAGCGAAAGCAUUAAGUGAUCCACCUGGGAAGUACGACCGCAAGGUU
rnacentral:rRNA from 1 species